rnacentral:rRNA from 1 species
AUGGAUGGUCUUCUCCAUUGGUACUUUGCUCUGGGCCUAGCCCUUGCAGAUCAGGUGAGGCACAUGUUUGGCACGACGGUCCAUUUUUCCCCUUCCCAAAGAUCCAGGGAAUUUUUUUUGGUCGUUAAAUUCUCCUCAACAUCCUUCCCUCUCUUGGUGGAAUCUGUUGGUAUUGCUUUGCAAUGUUGUCUUGGGGGUUCAAGUUCUGGAUUCCAUGUUGCCAAGAUCAAUGAUCAUACAUUCCGAUUUUCUGUUGCAAGCAACAAAGUUGGACAUUUCAUAUAUGGUUUGAAAGAUCGAGUUUGGCCAGACUUUGUUUGUCAUUUCCAUCUUUUUAACGACCGAUAUGCUAGAGCUCCUGUCUCUGCCUCCUCCUGGCAUGCGGCAAGAAAUUUUGGACAUCUCUUCUCGGUCUCCCAUUGCGGUCAAGACCAACCUUCGAUCCAACACUCUGACCGUUGCAACGGGAUCCCCGUAUGCUCAGGUCCUUGGCAAAUUCGACAUUUCUCCAAUUAA